rnacentral:lncRNA from 1 species
CUUCUUAAAUUUGAACAUCUCUGCCCUAAAUUGUGGAUUGGUGCUCCCAUCACCAUUCCCACACUGUAACAGGAUGGAUUCAGGGCAGAUUGUCUCCAGCAAUGAAUCAGACAAAAGUGCUCCACCAACCAGGCCCUUGAAUCACCUUCCUUGUCCCGUGAAUCAGCACAGCCUGCCACGGCAAAGUUUUAUCAGCCCACUCCUGGAAAUGAUCAGUGAAGGUCCCAUCAUGGGCUGCUCAUAGUCCUGUGGACCAGGUGCUAAACUUACCUACCAGAGAUUAACAUUCCAGAUGAACGGGGCUGAAAUUUAAUCCUGGAUGGAAUAUGUUAUAACACUCAAGAAAUACGAACAUGAAAUUCUUAUUCUCUAGAAAUUACAAAACUCCUCAGGUCCUGGCUCCCAGAAGCAAAAUAACUCAAGUGAAGCAAUGAAGGAAGAAGAAGGAGGUUGCUGGCCUUGGAUAUCAUAAUUUCUGGGGACAACUUUAAGUGGACACUAAUAUUUCUGACUAGGAAAACUUCAAAAACUUCAUGGCAAAUGCAGAAGAGACAAAGACGUAUAGUCCAUGUUAUCCACUAUUUUCUGAGCACAGAAGAAAAUGAUCAAGACCCAGGAAUCACUGACCCUGGAGGAUGUGGCUGUGGAAUUCAGCUGGGAGGAGUGGCAGCUCCUGGACACUGCUCAGAAGAACCUGUACCGGGAUGUGAUGGUGGAG